CUCUUCACAAAACUCGUCGAGGACCGUGAUAAUUAUAUGUUGGACUGUUUGAUGAAGUGAAAGAAUCUUAUCGUGGAAGUCAUAUUUGUUGUCGUUUAACAAUUUAUGAAGUGGAAUUUAUUAUGAAAUAAUUAUAGUCAUCUUUCUUAUUAUUUGGAAUGAUUGAUUUAUUAUUGUAUUUAGUAUGAUAGAUUGAAAUUAUAAUAUUCACAUUUGAUUGAUAAUAUGUAAAUUUGCAAUCUUUAGUU